rnacentral:pre_miRNA from 1 species
AUAAGAUUCGGACCGUCAGUCUAUCGAACAAUUUCACCUGAUCGUGGGAAGAUCUUCCCUUUGUCAU